AGAGUUUGAUCCUGGCUCAGAGUUAACGCUGGCGGCGUGCCUAACACAUGCAAGUCGAGCGAAGAGUACCAGAGUACCGGGCUCUUAGCGGCAGACGGGUGAGUAACACGUAAACAAUCUGCCCUCGAAUGGGAGACAACCAAGCGAAAGUUUGGCUAAUACCCCAUACAAUCUUCUCCAGGCAUCUGGAGGGGAUGAAAGGCCCGCAAGGGUCGUUCGAGGAGGAGUUUGCGGCCUAUCAGCUAGUUGGCGGUGUAACAGACACCAAGGCUAUGACGGGUAGCCGAUCUAAAAGGAUGACCGGCCACAAGGGCACUGAGACACGGGCCCUACUCCUACGGGAGGCAGCAGUGGGGAAUUUUGGACAAUGGACGAAAGUCUGAUCCAGCGACGCCGCGUGAAGGACGAAGGUUUUCGGAUCGUAAACUUCUUUUGCAGGGGACGAAUACGCGCAAGCGUUUGACGGUACUCUGCGAAUAAGCCACGGCUAACUACGUGCCAGCAGCCGCGGUUA
rnacentral:rRNA from 1 species